rnacentral:tRNA from 4 species
GCCCCCAUAGCUCAGUCGGCCAGAGCGGCUCACUCGUAAUGAGCAGGUCACCGGUUCGAUUCCGGUUGGGGGCUCCA